ACACUCUGGUGUUGCCGGUGACAGGCAUGUGACAAUACACCACCCACGUUUCUGCAGCAAAAGCUCCCCAGGACAGUGGUUCUCCAGCUGGCGGGCAGGGGACAGGUAGGGGUGGGUAAGCCCUUGUCCUGGCAUGGCCAUGACCCCUCAGCGUGUGAAGCCUGGCUUGCUCCUGCUCACUGCUCUUCCAAAAAUGUGUUUCCUCUGUGCUCUGGUGAGAUUGGGGUCCCUGGCGGCAGUGGGUUUGGGCAGGGGAUGCUAAACAGUCUUUGCCUAAUAAAAUAUAAAGGCUAAGCAAGCGAGAGAAAGUGGAAGGUUACUGUCCUUAUUUUAUUGAGGCAGGAGCAGAGGCCGGGGAGGUAACAGCCCCAUGGACAGUCUGUAGCAGGGGGGGAACAAACCUCCUGAGACCAGAGCAGCGGCCAACAAAGGCGCUAGGUAUUAACAGAGUGUGUUAGUGCAGCAUUUUGCACAGGGGCAGAGGUUGGUUUGUGUUAGCUGCUCAGCUGCGUCUGGUACGGCCAGGUCAGCCUUUAGGCUUUUUUCUUGGCAGUUUUAAGCAUGCAUUGUUCUGGAUGGCCACUACCCUGCAGUGCCACGCUCUUUACCAGGCAAUUCUCCUAGGGCAGGAGUCCUUGAGCCCACCACCCAAGGAGAACCAGUUCCCCACAAACGCUAUCAAAGGAGCUAUCAAAGAGUUGCAACAUGUAUUUGGAGAAGCUAACAAAGGGGACUUAUCUGGCCAACCAGGAAGUAAAUAGGGUAGCUCUUGGGUUUUGCAAUCUAUCCAUUGCUACAGCUUCUCCAGCUUGUGAAAGAUGACUAUGGGAGAUUGCUCUGACCUUACUCCUUAUUCCUGGAAGCUCCCAAGAAGCUGCAAAAGAACCACUGACCCCGAAAAGCGGCAGGGCACAGCACAGGCGUCGGGGUGGCUCAGGCCGCAGGAGUCUAAUGGAGCAAAAGGCGAGCAGGAGCGUGAUUGCCAGAGCAUUGCAGCCAGCAGCACUCCUGUCCCUGAUGGGGAAAAACACGGUGGUAAGAGCUGGUCACAGAAAGUGGCUGCGGCCUGACC
rnacentral:lncRNA from 1 species